UACGUAGGUGGCGAGCGUUGUCCGGAUUUACUGGGCGUACAGGGAGCGUAGGCGGUUGGAUAAGCCCUCCGUGAAAUCUCCAGGCUUAACCUGGAAAGUGCAGAGGGGACUGUUCAGCUAGAGGAUGGGAGAGGAGCGCGGAAUUCCCGGUGUAGCGGUGAAAUGCGCAGAUAUCAGGAGGAACACCGGUGGCGAAGGCGGCACUCUGGGCCGGAACUGACGCUGAGGAGCGAAAGCGUGGGGAGCGAACAGG
rnacentral:rRNA from 1 species